UAUUAUUCUCAGGUACAAGAUUGUGAGAGAAUUCAAAUGAUCCUGGUCAUCUUCCAUUAAAAUAUUUCAAACUGAAGAAUCAAAUGAUGGCAAAGUCUUUCAAAUCGAGUAUCCUUUUAUUAAACUGGAAUUCAAACCCAAAAGUUGGAUAAAGAUUCUUGCAGAAAUGGUAAGCCAA